UCUCCGUUGGUGAACCAGCGGAGGGAUCAUUACAGAGUUUCUAAACUCCCAAACCCAUGUGAACUUACCUCUUGUUGCCUCGGCAGGGCCUACUGGGGCCGUUCGCGGCCCCCGGUGGUGGCCUGCCGGUGGACCACUAAACUCUUGUUAUUGUUGUGGCACUCUGAGUUGUAUCAAACUAAAUAAGUUAAAACUUUCAACAACGGAUCUCUUGGUUCUG
rnacentral:misc_RNA from 1 species